GCCUAGUUAGCUUAGUUGGUAGUGCGUCUGCCUUGUAAGGCUGGCCGCGGGUUCGAUUCCCGCCCGGGGCG
rnacentral:tRNA from 1 species